rnacentral:rRNA from 1 species
UACGUAGGGUGCAAGCGUUGUCCGGAGUUAUUGGGCGUAAAGAGCUCGUAGGCGGUCUGUCGCGUCGGCUGUGAAAUCCCGAGGCUCAACCUCGGGUCUGCAGUCGAUACGGGCAAACUAGAGUAUUGCAGGGGAGACUGGAAUUCCUGGUGUAGCGGUGAAAUGCGCAGAUAUCAGGAGGAACACCGGUGGCGAAGGCGGGUCUCUGGGCAAUAACUGACGCUGAGGAGCGAAAGCGUGGGGAGCGAACAGG